rnacentral:lncRNA from 1 species
AUCACUGAGGUGCUACUUCCUGUAGGCCACUAAAUCUCCUGUGUUACAAGUAUAAUGUAUUAAUUUUAUCAUUAAAGACUAUCUCCCCUACGCCCUCUUCACAGACACUAAAUGCAUUGAACUUAAGCAAACUCCACUUAGUGUGCAUUUCUUCUAUGUUGAAAACAGGUUAUGAUGUAAGGAAGCAUGAAAUUAAUGAGGGCAGAGAGGUGAAACUGCUUCCAGAUUGGCUUCCAUCCAAUGCUUGAGGCAUCUUGGAGAUUGUCAAUGAUCUACAUAACUUUCCUAUGUAUACAAUAGGAAGAGUUAAUUCAAGACCAGUGCAUAUGAUGCAGGAGGUGGGGCAAAUGAAGAGCUGUGGCAGGAGAGGAGGGCAGGUAGUUGGAGGCAAGUCCACAGGUACCACAGGUAAAUCAGAUGGCCCAGGAAAGCUUUCCUAAUCUAUGGUUUUGAUUUGCCUACACCAUUGCCAUGUGGCCCAUGUAAUGAUGGGAAGAUGUGUGGGAUAAAGGGGAAAGAGGGAGACAGUUAUCAUCUGUACCUGCUCGUGGCUCCUAGAGAAGAUCCUUUCUUUCUUCCUAUUCUAGACAAGAUGUCCAUGAAAAUGUUUAUGGUUUGGGUUGAAUUAUUUUAAAUUUGCUGGAAAAGGCCAUUAAACACUAAAUUUAGGGCUUUCCAAAAUGUUGGACACUGAGAAAUAAAAAAGCUUUAUUAAGGAAUAACAUCUUUGAAAAAAAAAAAGGAAGGAAUGGGAGUAUGAAGGAGAGUCUAGAGUGUGUUUCCAAACUGGCAAAGUGUCUGCCAGCCAAAUGGGGGAAUUUGGAGGGAAAAUUGCCUGCUCUAGGCAUCCUGCAUUGGGUGGAAAUGCCUAGUUCUUUUACAAGGGGUCUUGCUUAGUCAUUGGUUUGUGGCUGCCCCUGAAAUAGUGUGCCUUUGAAAGUGGAGGCAGACCAGGAGGGUGCUCAUAGCUGGAGGCUGUUAGGUAACCACAUUCUCUCCAGCUGGGCUGUGAGCUCUUUCUUGAAA